UUUUUGUUUUGCUUUUUUAGAACCACACCUGUGACAUAUGAGAGUUCCCAAGCUAGGGGCUGAAUAGGAGCUGCAGCCACUGGCCUACGCCACAGCCACAGCCACUUGGGAUCUAAGCCAAGUCUGCGACCCACACCACAGCUCACAGCAAAGCCAGAUCCUUAACCCACUGAGCAGGGCCAGGGAUAUGAGUCAGGUUUGUUAACCCCUGAGCCACAACAGGGACUCCAUUCUUUAAAGGGAAUAUUAAAUAUGACUUAAGGAUUCCCACUGUGGUGCAAUAGGAUCAGUGGCAUCUCUGGAGUGCUGGCAUUUGGGUAUCUGGUGUUGUGUUGCCACAGCUGCAGCUCAGAUCUGAUCCCUGGCCCAGGAAUGCCAUGUAACGAGGGGCAGCCAAAAAUAAACAAAUAAAUAUGACUUAAAACUCAGAAGUCAGUGGAAUUUGGUCUAAUAUCUGAUUCUUAAACUUGUUCAAGUCCCUUGGUAAAUCACACUGGCAAAAACCACAACAGAAAGAGAGCCAAAACAUUCUAUGCUAUGAAGAGUCAUAGACAACAUGUUUUUUUUUAAUCUUGGUUUUCAUGACAGUUUCUAGUGGAAAUUAACAAGGAAGGAAAGUCACCUGCAUAGUAAGAGAGGUUUGUAAGGGCUAGAGCCUGCAAUCAACAGGACAGAUAUUAUAGAAGAAAAGAUAGCACUGAGAGAAAUGAAAGUGGCAUUACAUUUUUAGGAUUAGAGGUCACCAAUUAAAAGUAUUCUUACAAGAGGAGAAAAAAAAAAAAAACACUUUUUGAAAAGAGAAAGCAAAUAAUUGGUUCCUUGCAAUCAAAAACUACCCCAGAUGCUCUAUAGGAACUGCGGUGUGGCUACAGAGAAACUCUGCAACUCUGCAACAAAUGAGCUUCUAACGUUCCCUGCAGUUGCUAAUACCAUGUCAACUAAUUAGCGCCCUCAUUUUAUUGCUAUGACAAUCAGCAAGUCCCCAAAAUAGGACAGGGUCGUUUACCUAUUACUCACAAGAUCUAUUAAAGAGAUUCUCUCAAGGUUCAACGCGUACAACUUCCACCUGUCUUUUCUUGAUGGCAAGUCAAUUUGAUUAAAAAAUAACAACAACCACGUCACCUUAAAGGACAGGAAUAAACGAUUCAAAUGAAAACCUCAAGACGUUAGAGGAGGAAGAAGACAGCACUCAGCACUGCCCACGGUGAAGUAAGAGAAGACGUUUCAUACUCUGCCUUAGUGGCAAUACUGGUACAAUCUCGUUCAUAUAAACUGGCAACAUGGAAAGACUCUUUACAAUGCUUAGACGCUCUGACCCAACAAUUCCUCUUCUGAGGAUCUAUCCUAAAGAAAUGAUCCAAAAUUGAGGAAAAGUGCCACAGGGAAAGAAAGACAUCCUCUGCAGCAUUUACUGUAAUAGAAUAAGCAUCAGAGGAGUUCCCACUGUAGCUCAGCAGGUUAAGAACCUGACAUAAGGUCUGUGAGAAUGCGAGGUCGAUCCCUGGCCUCGCUCACUGGGUUAAAGAUCCAGCAUUGCUGGAGUUCCCUUUGUGGCGCAGCGGAAAUGAGUCCAACUAGGAACCAUGAGGUUUCGGGUUCAAUCCCUGGCCUCGCUCAGUGGGUUAAGGAUCCUUAGUUGCCGUGAGCUGUGAUGUAGGUCACAGAUGCAGCUCAGAUCUGCUGAUGCUGUGAUGCGGCCUCAGCUACAGUUCAGACU
ensembl:lncRNA